rnacentral:lncRNA from 1 species
GCAGGCAUUGUGGAGAACCUAGAGUUUGUUCAAACGUCAAAGACUCCCAGAUCAUCCACUGUAUCUCAGGUCACCACCAAUCACCCUGACUUUUGUCUUGCCACUGGACUUUGAUGACUGAGAGUGAGGCUGAUAGUUUUAUGGAUCUCUGACUCACUUAAAUCCUAUUCACCUGAACGUCAAGAUGUCACUCCAUGAUGUUAGUGGUCCUCUUUGAAAACUAAGGGAAAAUGACAAACAACAACCUUUUUGCCAAACUGGCUUGCUUGCUGUUUCCUGUCAGUGUCCCACCAUCUCGCAUCUUCCUGCUUUUUCAGAGAUGAAUUCUGCCUAAUCACACUUCUCACAUCUUGAACUUAUGAAGUUGAUUUUUUGAAUCUCAACAUUUCCAACUUUUUCAACUGAUCUUUCUAUUGCUGGUCUGGAGACAUUUGGGGGCUGACCCUAGGAGCUUUUGUACCAUGCUUCUGGCUCAUUACAGCAGCCCUCCCCCUAUGAGGGGUGAUGGAUUUACCCUGUUGCCUGGAGACCGGAUUCAAACAGAGACCCAGAGAGAGCACCUGGGCGCUGGCUCUGGAGGGGUUAAGAACGAGUCCUGGAGCGGAUAACGGAGCUGAAUAACCCCAACAAAGUGAAGCCUCAGCUCGAGCUGGAGGGAGAUGACAGGAAGAAGAAGGCAGCAUCUGCGGACCCUUUCCCCAGGCAGGACUUACCUUCUGCCCCAGUGCUCAGGCUGCCUCCUGCUGGAUUAAUAUUUCUCAACAUAUAAUUAAAUUUGUUUUUGUGAUUAAUCACUAUGUUUAAAUUAUGUUUGAUUUGUAGCAAUGAGAAUACAUAAUGCAUAUCAGAUAUUUACAUUCUUAAUCAUAACUGUAUCAAAAUUACAGUUUUGAAGUAGCCACCAAAAUAAUUUUUUGGUUUGGGUUCACUGCAGCAUGAGGAACUAUAUUUCAGGGUCAUGGCAUUAAAAAGGUUGAGAACCACUGCUCUAGAUCAUCCCCUAAACCCCUAACCUCAAUGAAAUUGCCUCAUUUCUAAUUCCCCUUUUUCUUGUCCAGUAACCCCUCUGUGAAAGGGGCAUAAAAUCCCCUUACCCCAU